UGGCCACCAAGGGCGAGGGGAGCAGGCAGAGGGCGCCCACGCGCGGUUUCCCCUAGUGUGCGGACACGGGCGUGGCAGCAGUGGUGUCUGUGAAGUGAACGCCUAGGCCUACCCGUCAAAUGGAACGGAACACUAAGGACACGUUUGAAAAAACAGUCUAACCGUCUUUUUGCGUCGUCCUGCUGGGCUGAUUAGCGCAAACAAGAUUAUAAUGUGGACAUACAGUUUGUUAUACAACCGCAUUUCCAAGCUCACAUUUCUGUUUUCUUAAAAAAUAUUUAUUUGAGAAUUACAGACAGAGGGAGAGGGAGAGAGGUCUUCCAUCCGCUGGUUCACUCCGCAGUUGGCCGCAAGGGCCGGAGCUGCACCGAUCCGAAGCCAGGAGCCAGGAGCCAGGAGCUUCUUCCAGGUCUCCCACGUGGGUGCAGGGGCCCCAGGACCUGGGCCAUCUUCCACUGCCUUCCCGGGCCAUAGAGAGCUGGGUCGGAAGUGGAGCGGCCGGGAUAUGAACCAGUGCCCACAUGGGAUGCUGGCGCCUCAGGCGGACCUUAGCCCACUAUGCCACAGCGCCAGCCCCUUACGUUUCUAUUUCUGUAAUUACUGCAAAUUGAUUCUUAGGAGACCAUAAGGUUGGUUGAGAAGCUUCCACUUGGCAGAGAGGGAAAGGACCUAGUUACCACGGCAGGUUCUAUAGUGAAACCAAAGGGAGCAACGAGAGGAGUGGGAACAAGCUCCAAGUCCUGGCCUCACAAAGAUAUGCGAGCACCUAAAUGGUUUUCCUAAGCAGUUUAGAAGACACGGUGUGGGUUCUCCGUGGUACAGACUUCACACUGGGCUGUAGCUCAGAGAACACCAGUUUCAAAGGCGCUGAGGGUCCCUCUGCUGAUUUCUUUUUUGGGGGGCCGGUGCUGUGGUGCAGCGGGUUAAAGCCCUGGCUUGAAGCAUUGGCAUCCCAUAUGGGCGUCAGUUCGAGUCCUGGCUGCUCCUCUUCCUGUCCAGCUCUCUGCUAUCACCUGGGAUAGCAGUAGAAGAUGGCCCAAGUCCUUGGGCCCCUGCACCCACAUGGGAGACCUGGAAGAAACUCCUGGCUUCUGGCUUCGGAUCGGCACAGCUCUGGCCGUUGUGGUCAUCUGGGGAGUGAA